GACGAACGCUGGCGGCGUGCUUAACACAUGCAAGUCGAACGGAAAGGCCCUGCUUGCAGGGUACUCGAGUGGCGAACGGGUGAGUAACACGUGGGUGAUCUGCCCUGCACUUCGGGAUAAGCCUUGGGAACUGGGUCUAAUACCGGGGAGGGGCCAUCUUUAGUGUGAUGGUUGGAAAGUUUUUUCGGUGUAGGAUGAGCUCGCGGCCUAUCAGCUUGUUGGUGGGGUAAUGGCCUACCAAGGCGGCGUCGGGUAGCCGGCCUGUGAGAGUGGGAGGCCACACUGUGACUGAGAGACGCCGCAGACUCUUACGCGGGGCAGAAGUGGGGAAUAUAGCACAAUGGGCGCAAGCCUGAUGCAGAGACGCCGCGUGGGGGAGGACGGCCUUCGGGUUGUAAAAUCCUUUCGCUAGGGACGCAGCUUUUUGUGACGGUACCUAGAUAAGAAGCAACGGCUAACCACGUG
rnacentral:rRNA from 1 species